rnacentral:rRNA from 1 species
CAGCAGCCGCGGGAAAACGGAGGGAGCUAGCGUUGUUCGGAAUUACUGGGCGUAAAGCGCACGUAGGCGGCUUUGUAAGUUAGAGGUGAAAGCCUGGAGCUCAACUCCAGAAUUGCCUUUAAGACUGCAUCGCUUGAAUCCAGGAGAGGUGAGUGGAAUUCCGAGUGUAGAGGUGAAAUUCGUAGAUAUUCGGAAGAACACCAGUGGCGAAGGCGGCUCACUGGACUGGUAUUGACGCUGAGGUGCGAAAGCGUGGGGAGCAAACAGGAUUAGAUACCCGUGUAGUCCCUGUCUCUUAACA